rnacentral:rRNA from 1 species
GAUGAACGCUGGCGGCGUGCCUAAUACAUGCAAGUCGAGCGAACAGACGAGGAGCUUGCUCCUCUGACGUUAGCGGCGGACGGGUGAGUAACACGUGGAUAACCUACCUAUAAGACUGGGAUAACUUCGGGAAACCGGAGCUAAUACCGGAUAAUAUAUUGAACCGCAUGGUUCAAUGGUGAAAGACGGUUUUGCUGUCACUUAUAGAUGGAUCCGCGCCGCAUUAGCUAGUUGGUAAGGUAACGGCUUACCAAGGCAACGAUGCGUAGCCGACCUGAGAGGGUGAUCGGCCACACUGGAACUGAGACACGGUCCAGACUCCCACGGGAGGCAGCAGUAGGGAAUCUUCCGCAAUGGGCGAAAGCCUGACGGAGCAACGCCGCGUGAGUGAUGAAGGUCUUCGGAUCGUAAAACUCUGUUAUUAGGGAAGAACAAAUGUGUAAGUAACUAUGCACGUCUUGACGGUACCUAAUCAGAAAGCCACGGCUAACUACGUG